UACGAAGGGUGCAAACGUUGCUCGGAAUUAUUGGGCGUAAAGCGCACGUAGGCGGCAUAGCAAGUCGAAUGUGAAAUCCCUCGGCUUAACCAAGGAAGUGCAUCCGAAACUGCUGUGCUUGAGUACGAAAAGAGGAUCGCGGAAUUCCCGGUGUAGAGGUGAAAUUCGUAGAUAUCGGGGAGGAACACCAGUGGCGAAGGCGGCGAUCUGGGUCGAUACUGACGCUGAGGUGCGAAAGCGUGGGGAGCAAACGG
rnacentral:rRNA from 1 species